rnacentral:rRNA from 1 species
AUUCCAGCUCCAAUAGCGUAUACUAAAGUUGUUGCGAUUAAAAAGCUCGUAGUUGGAUCUCAGGCAUGGGCGCACGGUCCGCCUCGCGGCGGUCACUGUGUGAAUUGUUUUCCCAUCCUACGCUUCCCGGUUGUUCAGCCCAUGGUGCUCUUCAUUGAGCGUUUUGGGUGGCCGGAACGUUUACUUUGAAGAAAUUAGAGUGUUCAAAGCAGGCACAUCGCCUGAAUAAUGGUGCAUGGAAUGAUGGAAUAGGACCUCGGUUCUAUUUUGCUGGUUUUCGGAACGCGAGGUAAUGAUUAAGAGGGACAGACGGGGGCAUCCGUAUUGCGGUGUUAGAGGUGAAAUUCUUGGAUCAUCGCAAGACGAACGACUGCGAAAGCAUUUGCCAAGCAUGUUUUCAUUA